GGAUUAGAUACCCUGGUAGUCCACGCCGUAAACGAUGAUCACUCGAUGUCAGCGAUAUACUGUUGGUGUCUUAGCGAAAGUUUUAAGUGAUCCACCUGGGGAGUACGUUCGCAAGAAUGAAACUCAAAGGAAUUGACGGGGGCCCGCACAAGCGGUGGAGCAUGUGGUUUAAUUCGAUGAUACGCGAGGAACCUUACCUGGGCUUAAAUGUAGAGUGCUUUAGAUGGAAACAUCUUUUUCUUCGGACGCUCUACAAGGUGCUGCAUGGCUGUCGUCAGCUCGUGCCG
rnacentral:rRNA from 1 species